AGAGCGCAAGACGGUAUCCCGUACCGCACGCUAUCCACACCGUGGUGUCCAACGCUCCAACUAUUAUAAAGGGGCCGGUACCAGAAUCACAAAAGAGAGCACACCAGAACCUCAUGUCCGCACCAUAAGCCAUUCACAAACCAUGGCUGCCGCCAUUUUCCAUCUCAUCUCCAUAGCUAGCCACCAUCAUCUUCACCAUCGCAGCAAUUCACCUCUUGUAAUCGUGUAUCGCAUCCGGCAACCACUGUAUCUAGGAUAACGGAGUUCGAGCCACGAGGAGGUUAGGAGCAGAGAGGGAGUGGAUUGCUAUUCUGAACAUCAAUGAUAGAAAAGUUUAGUAUGGUAGCAUGAAGCUAAUCGCUGGGGAUUGAUGAGGUGUAGUUCUUAAACACCCAAUGUUUUUAUCCGAUUUAUCUUAAUGACUGAGGUAUACCCAUGCGAUGGAUGGGGCCUACGGUUGGACAACUAAAUCUUGAAGCAGGGCAUGUUUCGGUCAAGACGUAAUUUGAACACAAUCCCCACUUCGAGUCUUUGUAAGAACGUCUUAAUGGUUGUUUUCCAGAGCACAAAUUAAGAUCGUGAUGAUCUCGAUCACAAAAAUAUAGUUGUAAGAAUCAAGGCCUCAUACCCAUGCCAAUUUUUAUUUUAAGUGUUUUCGGUAGCAACUGUGAUCACAAUCCGGUCCAAAAAUUAGAAAUUAAUACUCUUGCCAAAGUUUUGUUAAAGCCCUUGUUGUGAGUACACAUCCUCUCGUAAAUAUGCGAUAUGAGGACAAUAGGAGUAAUUGAAUCAACGAUGGGGAAACUACAACUUUUGCCAACUGAACAAAUAACAACCUAAACAGGCACAUGGAUUUAGCAGCAAAAAGAAAAAAACACAAUCAAAAUAUUAAGUCCAGUAGGAAAACACAAUCCUG